rnacentral:lncRNA from 10 species
CCAGAAGAAGAAGGCAACAACAGGAAGAGGAGAAGCAGCAAUUCAGAAAGACACACUUUCUUCUUCGCUUGCCCUGAAUCGGAUAGUGCUUGAAGCCUGGAUUUGUCAGCAGCCACACAAGCCAGCCAACGCAGCAGAGAACAGGGCUGAGGACAGAGAAAAACUGAUGGCCAUGCUUAGGCCAUGGAUCAAGGCAUGCCCAAACCAGCCCCAAUCUUGUGCUUCUCCGUUAUGCCAGUCAAUAAAUUGCCUUUGUUGUUCAAA